GUGCUCACUUCAGCAGCACAUAUACUCAAAUUGGAACAAUACAGAGAAGAUUAGUAUGGCCCCUGUGCAAGAAUGACAUGAAAAUUUGUAAAGCGUUCCAUAUUUAA